UUUUCAUAAGUGGGCAAAAAACAGCAAAAAAGUAAGGCUAUACCCUUAACUUUUCGUCCAUUUUUGGCGACUUUUUUCAUUUUUCAUAAGUGGGCAAAAAAGUAAGGCUAUACCCUUAACUUUUCGUCCAUUUUUGGCGACUUUUUUCAUUUUUCAUAAGUGGGCAAAAAACAGCAAAAAAGUAAGGCUAUACCCUUAACUUUUCGUCCAUUUUUGGCGACUUUUUUUAUUUUUCAUAAGUGGGCAAAAAACAGCAAAAAAGUAAGGGUAUACCCUUUACUUUUCGUCCAUUUUUGGCGACUUUUUUCAUUUUUCAUCAGUGGGCAAAAAACAGCAAAAAAGUAAGGCUAUACCCUUUACUUUUCGUCCAUUUUUGGCGACUUUUUUCAUUUUUCAUAAGUGGGCAAAAAACAGCAAAAAAUCGUCCAUUUUUGGCGACUUUUUUCAUUUUUCAUAAGUGGGCAAAAAAACAGCAAAAAAGUAAGGCUAUACCCUUAACUUUUCGUCCAUUUUUAACGACUUUUGCCAUUUUUCAUAAGUGGGCAAAAAAACAGCAAAAAAGUAAGGCUAUGCCCUUAACUUUUCGUCCAUUUUUGGCGACUUUUUUCAUUUUUCAUAAGUGGGCAAAAAAACAGCAAAAAAGUAAGGCUAUACCCUUAACUUUUCGUCCAUUUUUGGCGACUUUUUUCAUUUUUCAUAAGUGGGCAAAAAACAGCAAAAAAGUAAGGCUAUAUAGCCUUCGUCCAUUUUUGGCGACUUUUCUCAUCAGUGGGCAAAAAACAGCAAAAAAGUAAGGCUAUACCCUUAACUUUUCG